rnacentral:tRNA from 1 species
UGCGGGGUGGAGCAGUGGCAGCUCGUCGGGCUCAUAACCCGAAGGUCAGAGGUUCGAGUCCUCUCCCCGCUAC